rnacentral:rRNA from 1 species
CUACGGGCGGCAGCAGUAGGGAAUAUUGGACAAUGGGGGAAACCCUGAUCCAGCAAUGCCGCGUGUGUGAAGAAGGCCUGCGGGUUGUAAAGCACUUUCGGUUGGGAGGACUGCUUCUAGCACUAAUAUUGUUGGAAGUUGACGUUACCUUCAGAAGAAGCACCGGCUAACUCCGUGCCAGCAGCCGCGGUAAUACGGAGGGUGCAAGCGUGAAUCGGAAUUACUGGGCGUAAAGCGCGCGUAGGCGGCUAGAUCAGUCGGGUGUGAAAGCCCCGGGCUUAACCUGGGAACUGCAUCCGAUACUGUCUAGCUUGAGUACAGGAGAGGAGAGUGGAAUUCCACAUGUAGCGGUGAAAUGCGUAGAUAUGUGGAGGAACACCAAUGGCGAAGGCAGCUCUCUGGCCUGAUACUGACGCUGAGGUGCGAAAGCGUGGGGAGCAAACAGGAUUAGAUACCCGCGUAGUC